ACAGACACACACAGCGGCGCCCGCAGACAAGAAAAAAGGCAAGAGAAGGAGAGGGCGAUGGAAAGGAGAAGGCCCCAUGCAACACCGACUUCCACUUACGUCUUCUUGCGUUUAUUCCCCACCCCACCCCCACUGGUUGGAACUCGGCGGCUGCAUCAGACGAACGCGCCAGUGGUGGUGCUUUAAACCACUCUCUGCGCUUGUUGGCUCUCCUCUCUUCCCUCCCUGUCCCACAUUUCUCCACGCACAAAAGCCUGCACGCGCAACGACGAGGGUACUCGAAUAUCGAAGCCUGCUAUUGAUGUCGCCUCACGGCAUGUGAGGCGAUGCACUGCAGCACGGGGGGCGCUGGCUCUGUGGGCUUCGCACUUCGCCAGCAGGAGUUGCAGCGGGCUAUCGAAGAGAAGCGGCUCGAGUUGAAGCAGCUGUACGAGCGGCAAUGCCAUGUGAGCGCCGCGAUGCUGUGCCAGGGCGACUUCGAGGACCCCCGAGUGAUGAGAGAUCGGCCCCAACUGCGCAUUCGAGGGUCACCUGCGGAAGCGCGGCCCCCACACCGUGCAGCAUCGCAGACGCCGCCGCCGGGUGACAGAGGACUAUCGGAGAGUGUCGCCUUCAUCAUUACAUCUGAACUGCGCCGUCUUCGUCCUCGAAUAAUGCCCCAGAACCCUGACAGCCGCACUGUCGUCUGGGGAGCACGAUCGAAACUCACUCAGAAUCGACCGUCUCCGUCGAAGGAGUUUGCGGUUCGUUUGUCUCGCCUGCACAAAGCCUCCGCACCGGGCGCGGCAACUGUGCCGGAGGCGGUAGCAGUGGCAGCUACUAAAGAACCGUUGAGUGACUCCCCGGAUGUUUCGCCGAUUGCGGCGGAGUGCCCCGCAGAUCAGGCUGAUGUUUCCGCUGCAUCGUAUUUGAGCAGCAAUUCUACUCUCUUCUGUGACCAUGGAGGGGUGAGCGGUCUCGGCCGUGGUGACGCCGAAGGUGCUCGCCACGUGCGGUUCUCGAGCCGAAGCCCGCAGGUUUCCACCUUCUCAGUGGAGCGAUCUUGCGUUCCGCUCCAGGAGGGAUUCGAUGCGAUGGCGGUGGCGGCCGCCGCAACGCCAGGGCCGUCAGCGAGUCAUGGGGAAAAACGGACACCUGGCCCAGAGCUUGACUUGAUUGAGAAGGCUUCUUCUGCGCCUCUCGACACCGCCGCCCAGCGGGUGCGCACUCUCGCGAUGAGUCCGUUUGUGUCUUCGCGGCAUUUCGCCGUUCUGUCACCACGAAACACUGUCUCUUGCUGCCUAACGCAGGUCGAGGAACUGCGCCACUCUUUGCUAGCGGCGCCGUCGAACGCCCGUUACAGUGGGCGCGGCUUCGACGAUGACACUCGCCCGCCAGCGCGGCGGGUUCAGGGUUUGAGGAUGCCGGUGCAGCCGUCGGUGAUGGACAAGCAGGCUGAGAGAGAGGGUGCCGCGACGCCUGCCAAGCGGUGGACGUUGGAGCGAACUCCUGACCUCGGCGAUUCUGUCGGUGCGGCCGCCGUCGACAUCAACUCCACCACGAUGUCCGGUGCACUUGGUCUGGCCGCGCCCGUCCCAAGUGGUGUGCCUGUAGCCCCCGUCAUGUGUGAAGCUUCUGAGUGCGCCACGGAGAACUCGCCGAUCUUUCUGCGCCGCCCCGAGCGGAGAGCUGGCCCGUCCACCCAAGAUUCCCAUGAGUCCCCGCUCUUAACGAACAUCACGAACCAGCCCCCCAAAUUGCCUGAACCACCGUCAAGGCUGCGGAUGUCACGUGAGGAGAGCGCCACCGCCGUCCACAAGCCGAAGAAGUGUGUACGCUUUCGUGAGUCUGUCGAGCGAUCUGACAAAGGCACCUCGGGGACCACAUGCAAGCGACGGCGUCCAGGUUGGCGGACCGCGCCUUCCUCCGCUUCUGCACCGGCUACUGCCGGUGCGCCAAUCGCGAUGCCGGCCGAAUUGUGUUGCGAGCAGGAGGGCUUUGGUGCUGGCAUCCUCCUAGCUUGCGGGCCGACACUCUAUUUUGAUUGAGAUACUCUAUCGGCAUUCAUGGGUUGGGGUAGUCCUGGUGGUAGUGCAGAAAGGACUGCUGCCACCGUGGUGAUAUCUCGUGCGCGAAGGACUCUGCUACGGUGCUGUCUGUUUGAAACUGCUAUGCAAACGAACUAACCA
rnacentral:misc_RNA from 1 species